rnacentral:misc_RNA from 1 species
UUUCCGUAGGUGAACCUGCGGAAGGAUCAUUACCUGAAUAUGGGCUUCGGCCCUCGUUCUACCCUUGUCUACUGCACCUUUUGUCGUUCCCUCGGCGGGCCUCCCGCCGACGGGUACCCAAGAAACCCUUUGCAAUAAGCAUGUAAAUCUGAUACCAAUUGAAUAAUCACAACUUUCAACAAUGGAUCUCUUGGUUCUGGCAUCGAUGAAGAACGCAGC